rnacentral:rRNA from 1 species
CUUAAAUGAAUUGACGGGUCCCCGCACAAGCAGCGGAGCGUGUGGUUUAAUUCGAUGCUACACGAAGAACCUUACCUGGGUUUGACAUAGAGGUAGUAGGGAAGCGAAAGCGGACCGACCCUUCGGGGAGCCUCUACAGGUGUUGCAUGGCUGUCGUCAGCUCGUGUCGUGAGAUGUUCGGUUAAGUCCGCUAACGAGCGCAACCCUCGCUGUGUGUUACAAGUGUCACACGGUACUGCCGAUAUUAAGUCGGAGGAAGGUGGGAUGACGUCAAGUCAGCAUGACCUUUAUAUCCAGGGCUACACACACGCUACAAUGGCCAACACAAUAGGUUGCUAAGCCGCGAGGUGGCGCCAAUCCAUAAAGUUGGUCUCAGUUCAGAUUGUAGGCUGCAACCCGCCUGCAUGAAGAUGGAGUUGCUAGUAACCGCAGGUCAGCUAUACUGCGGUGAAUACGUUCCCGGGGCUU